UGACAUUGCCGUGAUUUCAAUAGGCCUUGC
rnacentral:piRNA from 1 species